rnacentral:tRNA from 1 species
GGGGAUAUAGCUUAGUUGGUAAAGCGUUCGGUUCGCAACAGAAAGACCGAGAGUUCGAGUCUCUUUAUCUCCACCA